CACGUAGGUGGUCCACUAAGUCGAGUGUGAAAUCCCCCGGCUCAACCGGGGAAUUGCGCUCGAUACUGGCGGGCUUGAGGUCGGUAGGGGUGAGCGGAACUCCAGGUGGAGCGGUGAAAUGCGUAGAUAUCUGGAGGAACACCGGUGGCGAAAGCGGCUCACUGGAUCGAAUCUGACACUGAGGUGCGAAAGCUAGGGUAGCAAACG
rnacentral:rRNA from 1 species